rnacentral:miRNA from 12 species
GAUGCGGGGCAUUUCCUGAGGAUUAAUGACUGUCUGGGGUCAUCAUCUCCUCCCAGUUAGUUAUUAAUCCCCAGGAAAUACUCUGUGCCUUGAUC